UGAAGCCACCAAAUGGCCCCAAAUGUUAGCCUGGGCACACAUGAGGUCAUUUAUCUUCACUUCUACCAGUAAGAAUGUACACUAAGAAAACAGGAAAAUAGUGAAACUCAUUGAAACAUGAAGUGGCAACAACUAAGAAAAGUCUUCAUGCCGUGAUCUGGGAGGAAUUAACACCAAUCAUCGCAGAAAACAAAGCUGGGUGGAAGCCUUGGAAAAGCUGAAGAAUGGAAGUGAAGAGGGAGGACUGAACAAGAUCCCUUGGAGCUGCAGGUGGUAAGGCCAGGGAAGUCCUGCCAGGUGUUCAGAAGUAGCUGCAGCCACAGUAGGAAGCCAGCCAUGGGACUCUGAGGUGUUCCGGGGCAGGGAGGGCUAUGGGAUGGUUCCAAGCUGUGCUGAUGCUAGAGGCAGCAGAAGCAGAGCUUCCAGCCAAUGAGAUGUUCCUCUCCUAAUGAAAAUUUGCAUCUUCCCUCCCAUCCCAUGAGAACACGUCGACUGCUUAAAAAUAGCACCAGUCAAGCCCCUCUUAGCUUCAUUUCCACAUCCUGAAUGCGAGGUUCUAAACUUGGAACUGACAAAAGGCAGCUGAAAGAUUGCCUUUCAGAAAAUAACGAGCUUAAUGGGCUCUUUGACAAAUGGUAGAGAUUUUCAUUUUCUACUGUCCCUUUGUUUGAACUAUUUUCUUUUCCCUUUUUUUUUUUAAGGUGACAUAUACAUCUUUGUUUCCAAUAAUUGGAUCGGGGUUGAAAGAAAAUCCUCUGUGAAUGAGUUUCCUAUGAAAAUCAGACCUCAACCCUGUAAUGUGAAAUGGUUCACUGUCUGGAUGACGUCCCUGGUGUCGACUGAACAGCGUCUGCAGCACUAUUCGUUGCAUCCUGGCACCUUGGCAGUUAAGGUAGAAAAAGAAUUCUCUCUCCCGGAUCGUCAAUACGAGUCUUGGCUUCCCUUUUAAGAAACCAACUUGGGUCAUUCAUCUACUCCUAAUCAGUGUUACUAAUCACUAACUAGUGAGUAUAACACACUGAUUCCUGAAUCAAUCACUGUGACAAAGAGGAUGAAACUGUGUCAGUUGUCCUAACAAAAAUAACCAGAUGGGUGUGAGAAUGGUACCAUCCAAACCAGACGGCUCCUCCCCAGUAGUGGGCUGGGUGUUUGGGAGGGAACCAUGAUAAUCACCUCUCAAGUUCUCAUUUCAUGUGUUGGGUACCGCAUUGUAUAGUGUCUCCCCCAAAAUCACAUGUCUAUGAAUAUGACCUUAUUUGAAAGUAGGGUCUUUGUAGAUAUAGUCAAGUAAAAAUGAGGUUAUAAUGGAUUAGGAUGGGCCCUAACCUAAUGACUGGUAUCCUUGCAGGAGAGAGAAAUUGGAGGCAGGCAUGCCGAGAGAAUGCCAUGUGACCAUGGAGGCAGAGAUUUGAGUGACGCGUCUUCAAGCCAAGGAGCAGCAAGGACUGCUGGCAACACCAGAAGCCGGGAGAAAAGCACAAAAUGAAUUCUCCCUCAGAGCCUCCAGACUGUGAAAGGGCACAUUUUGGAUGUUUUCAGUCACCCAGUUUGUGGUCCUUAGUUGUGGCAGUGCUGCAACCAGGAGACUGAGUCCUGCAUGGGUUCCUCUGGUUUUCCAGCAAGAAAAGGAACUUAUUCUUGAUUUCCAGUGAGCAGGCAGAUUUGUCCUAUUUAUGUGCUUUGAUGGGCGUCUUGAGAAUCGGGAACUGUAGAGCUGGAAGCAGAUCUGGAACCGAUUGUCCUUUAUUUCUGUGAGUGUUUUGCUCUAGAAAAAUAGAGCAAAGGAAAAUGAAGAGGGAGAAUGUUGAUCGCAAUGCUCACAGGAUGGCUUCCUCUUCCCUUGAAGCUGUGAUGUGUUUCUGUGCCUGUGUCCACGCAUGUGUGGUUAUGUGAAGAUAUGAGAAGAGGAGAGGGUGGCAGUGGAAGGAAUGCAAAGGAGACAUAGUGAGAAAGAGAGAGAAAAAAGAAAUAGAGACACAUUUUAUCUGAAUGAUUUUAUGAAUUUAUAAUAAAAAUAGUUGUGGAUAUUGCUCCA
rnacentral:lncRNA from 13 species